rnacentral:tRNA from 1 species
AAUAAAGAAGUAAUUAAUACAGCUAGUUUCGACCUAGUCUCAGAGCACGCUCCUUAUUAAU